rnacentral:rRNA from 1 species
UACGAAGGCCCCGAGCGUUAUCCGGAUUUAUUGGGUUUAAAGGGUGCGUAGGCGGUUGAUUAAGUCAGUUGUGAAAUACGGCAGCUUAACUGUCGAGGUGCAAUUGAUACUGGUUGACUUGAGUACAGACGAGGUAGGCGGAAUUGACAGUGUAGCGGUGAAAUGCAUAGAUAUCGUCAAGAACACCGAUAGCGAAGGCAGCUUACUAGACUGUAACUGACGCUGAGGCACGAAAGUGUGGGAAUCAAACAGG